rnacentral:rRNA from 1 species
UACGGAGGAUGCAAGCGUUAUCCGGAUUUAUUGGGUUUAAAGGGUGCGUAGGCGGAGCAAUCAGUCAGCGGUGAAAUCUACAGGCUCAACCUGUAACCUGCCGUUGAAACUGUUGCCCUUGAGUAUAGAUGAAGUAGGCGGAAUUCGUUGUGUAGCGGUGAAAUGCAUAGAUAUAACGAGGAACCCCAAUUGCGUAGGCAGCUUACUAAACUAUCACUGACGCUGAAGCACGAAAGCGUGGGUAUCCAACAGG